rnacentral:sRNA from 1 species
GUGUUUGCUCAGGCAUUGUAAUUAAGAUUGACAACUAAAUUCAAUGGGUAGGUGGAGUAUAACUAUACAUAAAGGUUUGAUUGGUCAAUGAAUAUCAAAAUUGUUUCCAAUAUGAUAUCCAUUGUCCAAUCAACUUUUUUUUAUAUAGUAAACAAACGGUUACUCCGCCUCUCUAUUGAAUUUAGGUGUCAUUCUUAAUUACAAUGCCUGAGCAAACAC